rnacentral:rRNA from 1 species
UACGUAGGUGACAAGCGUUGUCCGGAUUUACUGGGCGUAAAGAGCGCGCAGGCGGUCGAUCAAGUCGGGCGUGAAAUCCCCAGGCUCAACCUGGGAACUGCGCUCGAAACUGAGGGUCUUGAGUGUCGGAGAGGAUGGCGGAAUUCCUGGUGUAGAGGUGAAAUUCGUAGAUAUCAGGAGGAACACCGGUGGCGAAGGCGGCCAUCUGGACGACAACUGACGCUGAGAUGCGAAAGCGUGGGGAGCAAACAGG